AAAAACAUCGCCUCCUGCAAACUUUCAAUGUAUAAGAGGUCCUACCUGCCCGGUGACUUAAGUUAAACGGCCGCGGUAUUUUGACCGUGCUAAGGUAGCGCAAUCACUUGUCUUUUAAAUGAAGACCUGUAUGAAUGGUGAAACGAGGGCUUAACUGUCUCCCCCCUCCAGUCAAUGAAAUUGAUCUACCCGUGCAGAAGCGGGUAUACUAAUACAAGACGAGAAGACCCUUUGGAGCUUAAGACGAAAGACCAACUAAACCUAAGCAUCUGAACAAAACAAUAUGUAAUAGACACCCACCUGGUCUCAAUGUCUUCGGUUGGGGCGACCGCGGGGGAAAAUUAAGCCCCCAUGUGGAAUGGGACCUUCCCUUAAACCAAGAGAGACAUCUCUAAGUCACAGAACAUCUGACUUAAAGAUCCGGCACUACAAGCCGACCAACGAACCAAGUUACCCUAGGGAUAACAGCGCAAUCCCCUCCAAGAGUCCAUAUCGACAAGGGGGUUUACGACCUCGAUGUUGGAUCAGGACAUCCUAAUGGUGCAGCCGCUAUUAAGGGUUCGUUUGUUCAACGAUUAAAGUCCUACGUGAUCUGAG
rnacentral:rRNA from 1 species